GGGGGGGCAGUGCACAAGCAGGGGAAGGGCAGGAGAGGGAGAGAGAGAAGGAAUCCCAAGGAGGCUCCAGGCUGCCAGUGCAGAGCCUGACUCAGGGCUCAAACUCACAGCCCAUGAGAUCACGACCUGAGCCGAAACCAAGAGUUGGACGCUUAACUGACUGAGCCACCCAGGCGCCCCUAAAGCAAACUUUUAAUACAAGACAUACAUGUGCUUGAUUAAAUGGUCCAAUAGGACACAAAAUACGCAGUGAGACGUUUACCUUUUUCUUCCUAUCCCUCAGUUUCUUAGCGCUCCUUCCAAGAGGCAACUACUCUUACUGACAUCCUGAGGCUCCUUACUGGAUGAUUUUUAGAAGUUAUUUCUUACAGAUCCAUAUGAGGCUAUAGUGUUUGAUAUCUAUGUGAACGUUAUCUCCAAGGAGGGAAGGAUGCUUCUCUGAUUACCUCCAACGCGAAGGGAGCUAAAUUUAUGUCCCGGCGGCAGGGACGGCGAUGAGGCACCAGGCUGGGGGAGACCAGCGGUCAACAGAUGCGCAAACAGAACUGGAAAACAUGAGAUCCUAGAGGUGCUGUGCAGAGAAUUAAAAUAGAGGGACGCACUAGGGAGUGACUGAGUGGUCACUCCCUAUCUCCCUCUGAGGAGGUCACUUUCGAGGUCUCUGCUCCGUUGCUGAAGGUAAAGGUCCUGAGAAAAACCAGCAUCGACCGCAGCUGUCCUCAGGGAUACGUGUACACUCGAGAUAAGGCAGAACACGGCAAAGCAAGGAUUCAGAUCCUGCCUCACUCAAAGCCACUGAGUUUCUCUGACAAUCUGAAUGACCUGCCUGACGAUUCUCUUCGCUUAGCAUGGUAAGCUGAAGAUCUUUGAAAACAAAACAAAACAAAACAGUGUAACUAGGGGCACCUGGGUGGCCCCGUCGGUUGAGCGUCCGACUCGUGAUUUCGGCUCAGGUCCUGAUCUCACAGUUCGUGAGGCUCCGAGCUGACAGAGUGGAGCCCGCUUGAGAUUCGCUCUCUUUCUUUCUCUGCCCCUCCCCCCACCUCU
rnacentral:lncRNA from 1 species